rnacentral:lncRNA from 1 species
CCCUAUGGCCCCCUACUACCAAAACCUUGCCACGUAAACCCACUACACCCAGUUGACCUGAACAAGAUCAUAAAGCUAUUUAUGUAGUAUAACAGAGUGGAAAUUGGGAUGUCUCCAUUUUUCUUAAAUCUUUCCAUUGAAAACUGAGCAACUUCAUCAAGUUCACUCAAGAUAUUCUGAAUGUGUAGUGAUCUUGUGAAAAUGAAAAACUGAAGAGACAAGGAAGAACUAUCCAAAUAGGUGUCACAGCAUUCAGCAUGACAACUCCUAACAGGAGUUCCCAAUCUGAG